AUUUGAUUCUAUUUAUUUGUGGAUUCCAAUGGAAUAAUUAUAAUAAACUAUUCAAUUAUUUGUUUUUACCGAUUUAGUUUGGUACGGAACCGAACUGAUAAAAUGCUCACCCUACUUGAAAAGAGAUGUGAUCAACGGUUCAGAACACCCAUCCUGUCCUCGCUGUGAACAAUUCAAUGAGUUUUCCAACUUUUUUCUUGCAGAAUUUCACCUUAAAGUUUUUGGCAAUAGAAGUAUUGCAUUA
rnacentral:misc_RNA from 1 species